AUAUUGAAACAUGAAUCGUAGCAUUGAGAACUGUUGCUGACCUGUUAAAGGGUAUGUGCACGUUCGACGUGUUGCGUUCUAUUCUUCCACCUGUGCACCUUUGUAGACUUGGUUAACUUUCGCUCUCGAGCGGUUAGAAGGGUUGCUUUCGAGCUCCCUUUGUCUACCAAGUUUAUGUCUAUAUAAUCUCUUGUAUGUCUAGAAUGUCUUGUUUAUGGGACGCAAGUCCUUUAAAUCUUAUACAACUUUCAACAACGGAUCUCUUGGCUCUCGCAUCGAUGAUGAAGAACGCAGCGAAAUGCGAUAACUAAUGUGAAUUGCAGAAUUCAGUGAAUCAUCGAGUCUUUGAACGCACCUUGCGCCCUUUGGUAUUCCAAAGGGCAUGCCUGUUUGAGUGUCAUUAAAUUCUCAACCUCCCCUUCUUUUACUAGGAGUGUGGCGGAUUGGAUAUGGAGGCUUGCUGGUUUCUAACGAGAUCAGCUCCUCUGAAAUGCAUUAGCAGAAACCGUUUGACUUUGGCUGCUAGGCUGUGAUAAUAUCUACGCCUUGGUAGUCCGGUCGGAAUACGAGUCUAGCUUAGUAUCGGUUUGGAUGGUGCUUAACGGCUUCAUCUGCUUUCUCCCUUUGCGGAGAUACUUGUCCGAUUCUGAGUUGCAGUUGGAUUUCCUAAAAAGGCAAUCAAGUACGAUGUGAUAUCCCAAAAGGAAAUCAAGUAGGAUAUGAUUGCUAAAAAAGGAAGCUCACCGCGCUGACUUUGUAGAAGGAUUCAGCUUCUAACGGUCCAUUGACUUGGACAAUUUAUUGACUAUUGACCUCAAAUC
rnacentral:rRNA from 1 species